rnacentral:rRNA from 1 species
AGAGUUUGAUCCUGGCUCAGGACGAACGCUGGCGGCGUGCCUAAUACAUGCAAGUCGAGCGAAGAGGAGAGAGCUUGCUCUCGUAAUCUUAGCGGCGGACGGGUGAGUAACACGUAGGCAACCUGCCUGUAAGCCUGGGAUAACUCCGGGAAACCGGAGCUAAUACCAGAUAAUCCGUUAGACCGCAUGGUCUAACGAUAAAAGGAUGCGAUUCCACUUACAGAUGGACCUGCGGCGCAUUAGCUUGUUGGUGAGGUAACGGCUCACCAAGGCAACGAUGCGUAGCCGACCUGAGAGGGUGACCGGCCACACUGGGACUGAGACACGGCCCAGACUCCUACGGGAGGCAGCAGUAGGGAAUCUUCGGCAAUGGACGAAAGUCUGACCGAGCAACGCCGCGUGAGUGAUGAAGGUUUUCGGAUUGUAAAACUCUGUUGUCAGGGAAGAACAAACGAGAUGAGAUCUCGUCUUGACGGUACCUGACGAGAAAGCCCCGGCUAACUACGUGCCAGCAGCCGCGGUAAUACGUAGGGGGCAAGCGUU